UUACUAUAGAGAACAUAUGUACUAAGUUUCAAGUUGAUUGGACUUCAAUUUCAUCAAAAACUACCUUGACCAAAAACAUGAACCUGAAACUCCCACUUUCAUUUUCUAUGUUCAGUGGACCGUGAAAUUGGGGCCAAAAGUCUAAUUUGGCUUUAAAAUUAGAAAGAUCAUAUCAUAAGCUACAAGUGUACUAAGUUUCAAGUUGAUUGGACUUCAGCUUCAUCAAAAACUACCUUGACCAAAACUUUAACCUGAAUGGACGCACAGACGAACGGUACGACGAAC
rnacentral:lncRNA from 1 species